GAUCAUGGCUCAGGAUGAACGCUGGCGGCGUGCCUAACACAUGCAAGUCGAACGAAGCACUUUUUUACGAUCCCUUCGGGGUGACGGAUUUGUGACUGAGUGGCGGACGGGUGAGUAACGCGUGGGAAACCUGCCUUGUACCGGGGGAUAGCAGUUGGAAACGACUGAUAAUACCGCAUAAGCGCACAGUAUCACAUGAUACAGUGUGAAAAACUCCGGUGGUACAAGAUGGACCCGCGGCGCAUUAGCUAGUUGGUGAGGUAACGGCUCACCAAGGCGACGAUGCGUAGCCGACCUGAGAGGGUGAUCGGCCACAUUGGAACUGAGACACGGUCCAGACUCCUACGGGAGGCAGCAGUGGGGAAUAUUGCACAAUGGGCGAAAGCCUGAUGCAGCAACGCCGCGUGGGUGAUGAAGGUUUUCGGAUCGUAAAGCCCUGUCUUUUGGGACGAUAAUGACGGUACCAAAGGAGGAAGCCACGGCUAACUACGUG
rnacentral:rRNA from 1 species